rnacentral:rRNA from 1 species
ACGACUCUCGGCAACGGAUAUCUCGGCUCUCGCAUCGAUGAAGAACGUAGCGAAAUGCGAUACCUGGUGUGAAUUGCAGAAUCCCGCGAACCAUCGAGUCUCUGAACGCAAGUUGCGCCCGAGGCCACUCGGCCGAGGGCACGCCUGCCUGGGCGUCACGC